CGGGGUGCAGCAGGCGCGAAAACUUUACAAUGCGGGAAACCGUGAUAAGGGGACACCGAGUGCCAGCAUCAUAUGCUGGCUGUCCAGGUGUGUAAAAUACACCUGUUAGCAAGGGCCGGGCAAGACCGGUGCCAGCCGCCGCGGUAACACCGGCGGCCCGAGUGGUGAUCGUGAUUAUUGGGUCUAAAGGGUCCGUAGCCGGUUUGGUCAGUCCUCCGGGAAAUCUGACGGCUCAACCGUCAGGCUUUCGGGGGAUACUGCCAGGCUUGGAACCGGGAGAGGUAAGAGGUACUACAGGGGUAGGAGUGAAAUCUUGUAAUCCCUGUGAGACCACCUGUGGCGAAGGCGUCUUACCAGAACGGGUUCGACGGUGAGGGACGAAAGCUGGGGGCACGAACCGGAUUAGAUACCCGGGUAGUCCCAGCCGUAAACGAUGCUCGCUAGGUGUCAGGCAUGGCGCGACCGUGUCUGGUGCCGCAGGGAAGCCGUGAAGCGAGCCACCUGGGAAGUACGGCCGCAAGGCUGAAACUUAAAGGAAUUGGCG
rnacentral:rRNA from 1 species